GACGAACGCUGGCGGCGUGCUUAACACAUGCAAGUCGAACGAUGACGCCCGAGCUUGCUCGGUCUGAUUAGUGGCGAACGGGUGAGUAACACGUGAGCAACCUGCCCUUCACUCUGGGAUAACCCCGGGAAAUCGGGGCUAAUACCGGAUAUGAGCUCCUGUCGCAUGGCGUGCGUUGGAAAGUUUUUCGGUGAAGGAUGGGCUCGCGGCCUAUCAGUUUGUUGGUGAAGUAGUGGCUCACCAAGGCGAUGACGGGUAGCCGGCCUGAGAGGGCGACCGGCCACACUGGGACUGAGACACGGCCCAGACUCCUACGGGAGGCAGCAGUGGGGAAUAUUGCACAAUGGGCGAAAGCCUGAUGCAGCGACGCCGCGUGAGGGAUGACGGCCUUCGGGCUGUAAACCUCUUUCAGCAGGGAAGAAGCGAAAGUGACGGUACCUGCAGAAGAAGCGCCGGCUAACUACGUG
rnacentral:rRNA from 1 species